GCUUAUGGCCAUACCUUCCUGAGCGUUCCCGGUCUCGGAAGCUAAGCAGGGUUGGGCCUUGGAUGGGAGACCGCCUGGGAAUACCUGGUUCUGUGAGCC
rnacentral:rRNA from 1 species